GCAGAGUAGGAAAAUGCGUGUUCAGUGCCGACGGGACGGGGAGUUGUCCGCCGGACGAAUGGCGAGCAUCAUCGCCUGCAGUGUAUUUUCCGCAUCCCGCUGC
rnacentral:ncRNA from 1 species